AACUGGUCGGGAGCUGAUAACGCUCUCCUGACGAAGCCAUGGCAAGCCAAAACCAGUU
rnacentral:hammerhead_ribozyme from 15 species